UACGUAGGGUGCAAGCGUUGUCCGGAAUUAUUGGGCGUAAAGAGCUCGUAGGCGGUUUGUCGCGUCGGCUGUGAAAACUCGGGGCUCAACCCCGAGCCUGCAGUCGAUACGGGCAGACUAGAGUUCGGCAGGGGAGACUGGAAUUCCUGGUGUAGCGGUGAAAUGCGCAGAUAUCAGGAGGAACACCGGUGGCGAAGGCGGGUCUCUGGGCCGAUACUGACGCUGAGGAGCGAAAGCGUGGGGAGCGAACAGG
rnacentral:rRNA from 1 species